GACAGAGGGUGCAAACGUUGCUCGGAAUUACUGGGCGUAAAGCGCGUGUAGGCUGAUACGUGUGUCAGGUGUGAAAUCCCUGGGCUCAACCCAGGAACUGCACUUGAAACUGCGUAUCUAGAGUGUCGGAGAGGGAAGCGGAAUUGCUGGUGUAGGGGUGAAAUCCGUAGAUAUCAGCAGGAACAUCGGUGGCGAAGGCGGCUUCCUGGACGACUACUGACGCUGAGACGCGAAAGCGUGGGGAGCAAAC
rnacentral:rRNA from 1 species